rnacentral:rRNA from 1 species
CAGUCAUACCAACGGGAAAUCAACCUUUUGAGCUCGGUCUCGUGGGUUUUGAAGAGUUUCAAAGCCUUCGGAUUCGCGGGAUUGGGAUCUCUUGGCGUACUUUUUCGUACGGUUAGUCAACAUCGGUUUUGAAUGUCAUAAAAUGACUGGAGGAAUGUAGCUUCGAUCUCGUAUUGAAGUGUUAUAGCCUUUGGUAGAUGUGAUGUUUGAGACCGAGGAUUGCAACGGAUACCCUUCAGGGCUAUUCGUCUGAUCUCUGAAGGUUGCUCCGGUACCGAAAGCGUGCUUACGGUCA